rnacentral:misc_RNA from 1 species
AAGUCGUAACAAGGUUUCCGUAGGUGAACCUGCGGAAGGAUCAUUGCAGUAGUUGUUAAAAGGAUAAGGUUGGAGGGGGGAAUUGAUCGGUUUUCUUUUCUUACCACCUGUCCUUGUAUACACAUUGGCGCUUGAUUUUGUUUGACAAAGUAGUAUGUGGAAGGAUUUAAUGAAUGAUAACUUUUAACAAUGGAUCUCUUGGCUCUU